AGCUCCAAUAGCGUAUAUUUAAGUUGUUGCAGUUAAAAAGCUCGUAGUUGGAUUUCGGGCGUGGAAGUUCGGUCCGCCGUUUCGGUGUGCACUGUUGUUCUGCGUCUUUCUGCCGGGGACGCGCUUCUGGCCUUAAUUGGCUGGGACGUGGAUUCGGCGAGGUUACUUUGAAAAAAUUAGAGUGUUCAAAGCAAGCUAAAGCUCUGAAUACAUUAGCAUGGAAUAACGCGAGAGGACUCGGUCCUUAUUUUGUUGGUCUUCAAGGAUGGAGUAAUGAUUAAGAGGGACGGUUGGGGGCAUUCGUAUUUCAUUGUCAGAGGUGAAAUUCUUGGAUUUAUGAAAGACGAACUACUGCGAAAGCUUCUGCCAAAGACGUUUUCA
rnacentral:rRNA from 1 species